UAGGGAAUCUUCGGCAAUGGGGGGAACCCUGACCGAGCAACGCCGCGUGAGUGAAGAAGGUUUUCGGAUCGUAAAGCUCUGUUGUUAAGGAAGAACGAGUGUGAGAAUGGAAAGUUCAUGCUGUGACGGUACUUAACCAGAAAGGGACGGCUAACUACGUGCCAGCAGCCGCGGUAAUACGUAGGUCCCGAGCGUUGUCCGGAUUUAUUGGGCGUAAAGCGAGCGCAGGCGGUUAGAUAAGUCUGAAGUUAAAGGCAGUGGCUCAACCAUUGUAGGCUUUGGAAACUGUUUAACUUGAGUGCAGAAGGGGAGAGUGGAAUUCCAUGUGUAGCGGUGAAAUGCGUAGAUAUAUGGAGGAACACCGGUGGCGAAAGCGGCUCUCUGGUAUGUAACUGACGCUGAGGCUCGAAAGCGUGGGGAGCGAACAGG
rnacentral:rRNA from 1 species